AGUGGGAUAGCUGGGUCAAAUGGUGGUUUUAUUCCAAAUAUUCAAAAGAACCUCCAAACUCCUUCCAAUAUUAGCUAAACCAGUUUGUAGUCCCACCAGCAGU
rnacentral:pre_miRNA from 1 species